rnacentral:rRNA from 1 species
AUGUCGUGGGACAAAAUGACGAAACCGAAGAGAGGAGGAGGCAUUGGGUUUAGGGAUAUGCACUUGUUUAACCAAGCACUGCUAGCCAGGCAAGGAUGGAGGCUGAUCCAAAACCCUGAUAGUUUGUGCGCUAGGGUUCUGAAAUCGAAAUAUUAUCCAAACGGAGAGCUGAUGGAUACGGUGUUUGCAGCUGAUGCAUCACAGUCUUGGAGAGGCAUCAAAUUUGGCCUUGAGCUACUUAAGAAAGGGCUGAUAUGGCGGAUAGGAGAUGGGAGGAGUAUCCAAGUACAGAAGGACCAAUGGAUUCCGAGAAGGGAGGGCCUCAGAGCGGCAAACUUUACGUGCAGAUCUCGAAUCCGGUGGGUGAACCAACUCAUAGAUCCUAUAUCAAAACAGUGGAACCGGGCGCUUAUCCAGCGUAUAUUUAACCACUUUGAUGCCUCUGAAAUCCUCAAGAUCAGAAUACCAGAAGGGGAGGUGGUUGAUUGCAUAGCAUGGCACUAUGAGAAGUCAGGUGUGUUUACGGUCAGGAGUGCCUAUAAGCUAGCGACGAAGCUCAAGGGAAUCGGACCUCAAACGUCAAGCUCGACAGCUGAGAUAGAUGAUCGUAGCAGCUGGGACCUCAUUUGGAAAGCAGGUAUACCGGAGAAGAUUAAAAUAUUCGCCUGGAGGGUAGCGACUAAUACAUUAGCAACCAAGAUGAACAAAUGCAAACAUACUCUUGCCAUUGAUAAUACCUGUAACAUUUGUGGUAACGCAGAGGAGAACGAGUACCACGCAGUGGUGGAAUGCACCAAGAGCAGAGCACUUCAACAGGAAAUGAGGGCCAAAUGGGCUCUGCCUAGAGAGGAGCUUUUCCGCUACACUGGAAUAGACUGGCUCCAAAGCCUGUUAAAUUCAUGCGAUGGAGAGACACGGAACAGAAUUCUUCUCCUGCUGUGGCGGGCAUGGUACCUGCGCGACAACAUUGUCCACGGAAAUGGCAAAGAGCAUAUAUCAAGAUCGGCCGCUUUUCUAGUUCAGUAUGAGCAAGAGAUCAAUGCAUCCCAAGAUAAACGGAAGCCUGGGAGCGCAGUCAGAUGCCAGACUCUGUUUGGGGACCAGGGGAUUCAGGUGCCAAAGCCCGUGUCGUCAAGCUGGCUGCCACCGCCGGAGGGUGUUACUAAAUUAAACACCGAUGCGGCAUUUGAGGCCGCCUCCAGAGCAAGUGCAUGUGGAGCCAUUGCUAGAAACGCCCAGGGUGUGAUCCUCUUCUCGUUGGGAUGCAAGCUAGAUAAUUGCUCGUCGGUGGAAGAGGCGGAGGGGCUAUCGCUGCUGCAUGGCCUUCAGGAACUAGCUAAGAUCUACAGGGGCCCAAUCCAGGUGAAGGUGGACUGCUCGUCGCUGGUCCCUGCGCUAACCCCAGGGUCCACGAAUAGAUCAAGUCUUUUCCCAAUCAUUGCUGGAAUCCGAUCAGUUCUGGCUGGAUUCAGGGGCGUUGAAAUUGGAUGGAUUAGUAGGACUGCAAACAAAGCAGCACACUAUCUUGCAGCGCGCGUGAGGACCCAUGACGAUUUUAUUUUCUUUGGCUAUGCUCCGAGUGAGCUGCAGGAUAUUUUGUCAAACGAUUGUAGUCCGGCUGUGUAA